rnacentral:rRNA from 1 species
AUUAAUUAAUGAAAAUUUAUUAAGAAAUUAAAUGUUAAAUCAUUAAAUUUAGAAGAUUUGGCGGUGUUUUAUAUAAUUAGAGGAAUCUGUAUAAUAAUUGAUAAUCCACAAUAAGAAAAACUUAAUUUAAAAUUUAUGUAUUGCUGUUUUAAGAUUAUUAUUAAUUAAAUUUUUAAAUUGUUAUAUUUUAAUUUAAUUCAAGUCAAAAUAUAGUUUUAUUAAGAAUAAUAUGGAUUACAAUUUUUUUGAAAAAAAUAUAAUGGAUAAAUAUAUUUAAUUAUUUUUUGAAAUAGGAUUUAAUAGUAAAUUUAAUAAAUUUGUUAUUUUGAAUUUUUAAUAAAAUGAGU